UCAUCCACUUUAAUGGAAGGCUAUGAUCUAGUUAUCUCCAUAACUAGCUCAUUUUAUAGACCUAAUAAUUUAGAAGAUUUGAUUAUAAUGUUUUGAUAAGUAAUUGACCAGCGAGUCUUAAAUCCUUCCAUCGAUUUUACCAAGUUAUAAAGAGGACUAUAGACAAGCUGGUCCAAUGGCACCUAACUCAGUCGAAAUGAUUUAAUGAUUUAAGAAUAAGAGAAG
rnacentral:lncRNA from 1 species